rnacentral:ncRNA from 1 species
UCCUUCCUUGUCUAGUGGGAGCAUAAUGUCCAAUGAUCGUCUAGUGAGGAUAUUGAUGCUGACACCCAUUUAAAUACACAUACCCCUGCCCGUAUCCUGCUAAAAACAGGUGCGAGUGGAAUUUUUGGAAGG